AAAAAAAAAAAAAAAAAAAACCUAUUGUGUUUUAUUUAAUGGAAGUAAAUAUAUUGUUCAAAAACACUCACGAUGGGAGACUUUUAUUGAAUCUUUGUGUCGGCGGAGUGUGAAGCACUGACAGUCUGUCCACAGCCGGUUCGAUUAUGUGAGACACUCUGUGCGUCUAAUCUAUAGAGGAAAACAAUGGUGGCCGCUCCAAUACACAUACAGCGGCGAGAUGCUCCGUCAGAUUAACUGCUGAAUACAUGUCUGCCGCUCCGCCGGCAGCGCCUCGGCUGCGGUCACUGGGGCUUGAAAUAACACGGGAAUCAACAAACAGGAGUUGGGACCAAACAACAGAGUCUGAACCCGCAGGAGACCCAGAAAACUGGAUGCUUUAAAAUCCAAUUAAUGCGUUUAACGUGGUUUUAUUUGAUUAGUUUUGUAAAUGCAGUUGCAUAAAUUCAUAUUUAAGUCGUGACGUCCAGAUGAACCAGAACGUGUUUGGUUUGGAGUUUCCGACUCCUCCGUGCGUCUGUUUGCCUUCGCGUUUCUGUUUUCUUUCGUGACUUGCUGUUUUAUUAUCAUCAUUAUUAAGUCAUGCUUUAUAGAGCAGCAGCAGCGCCGUGGAAAAACAAGGCUUCGGUCUGCUGGAGGGGGGGAACUGUGAUGCACAAGCUUGAGCAAACAAGAGCGCUCAGAGUUACACGGAGGUAUGUGGAGCCGAGGCCGGCUGCAGAGGAGAGCAGGCGGGGGGCGAGCGCAGCCUCGUCGGGGAGGAGGCACCGCGGCACUCCGCUGAAUAAAGAGCGCGAGUUUGGGUUGUGGAGGAUGAGCCGUGCGCGCUGUUUCAGCCCAGAAUUGUUGAUCGUGUGAGCCUGUUUGUGUUUGUGCUCAUCACUGGAAAAUUAGGAAAGAAAAAGAAAAAAAAGAGCUGAUUUAGGAUCUGAUGUUACGCAGGACGAGGCCUCGGGUCACGUCUCCAGGGGCUGGUUAUUAUGAAGGGAAAUAAAUCAGAGUUAAACAGCAAACACGAAAAGAAGAAUUCCUCUGUUAAACCCUCUCACUGCUCCUCUCACCGUCUCCCUCCACAAUUAGAUUUCUGUCCAAGAAAAAAAAACCGUGGAGCCUCUUUUUGUGUGUCACCUUUUGAUGGAGCAAUAAUCAGCUGACGGGGGUGGUGGGGAGGGCGGAUAAGCCUCGGCUGCUGUGGAGGCGAAUACGCACGUCUGCAGCCUCAAUACACAUCCGCACAAUCAACAUGUGAGCGGAGGGAAGACCCGAGGAGAAGAGGCUUCACUGGGAAACGUUCAUUUGGCCGAAACGACGCUCAGAGGACCGCAGACCUCUCAGCCCGUCCGCUCCCUGCAGCCCUGCGCACGGCUGCUGCAGGAGAAGAGCUGAGGGAGGAUAAAAAUGCCAUUCAAGAGGAAUUAUUCAGCAUUAAGGCCAGCGACCGAGCUGCAAGAAGCACCUCUGAGCCGGUGUCCUGGCCGCAUGGAUCACAGACAGUGAGUGGCCAGUUUCCACUCCGUCCUGCCAGCAGCAGCUUGUGGUUACCAGUCUGUAACUCACAACAACCAGCGCAUCCAUCGACUCAAAGCUCGGCCCGGUCGUCCCUGUAAGUCACUCUGGUGUUGGCUGACGUGUGAAAUGUUUACGCCUUGUAAAAUAUUUCUUUGGAUUGCUCUCUUAUUAAAACCAGAUGUUGCCUGUUCCAUUUUUCCCUGGUGCAAAUAUGUAGCUGUUUUUAUUUUUUAGGUCAGUUCUGGCAUUAAUUAUUCGUCUCUACCCGAACCCAGCGGGCCAAAGUUCUGCUCAGAUCAGUGUUUCUGUUGAUGAGCAGCUGUUGUACAGAGAGAAGGGAACUGUAAACACGUCUGUAUCUGCAUUGUUUAAGAUUACAGAAUAAAUAUUAAUCAUGUUCUUCAUCUCUCUCGGUGUCAUUGUUGAUUUAUUCGCUUCUGUUUUGCACAAUAUGCACAUUACUUAAGUGAUUUUCCAUUUUGGUGUAAUAUGUGACUGUUUUAUUGCAACGAUGAUGUAUUAUUAUUUAAUUAUGACACAUAAUGAGAUACAGUCUAAAUAUUUUUGACACUCUGAAAUGAGCAUCAUGCAGGAUUCGGGGUGUAAUUAAAAAAUAAUUAUGUCCAUUUAAGAAAAGGAAAAAAAAAACAUUUUGUAAAUAAAGAAAACAAACAAACAAACAAAAAAAAAGGUUUCUAACUAAUUUACUGGAAGACACACUUGUGUUGGGGACUGAUGCAGUUAGAAAAGUUGUUUGACACUCACACACUCACUUGCAGAAAGUUAGCUGAGAACACUGAAACUCUCCUAACUCUGUUAAACACGAAGCUACAGUUAGCGACCAGUUAGCUUAGCACAAUAAAUGGAAACAAGGUAACAGCAAGUGCAGCUCCACCUGAAGCAAACAAAAUCCACCUGUAAGCACAUCAAUAAAUACAUAGAUAAUAAAUAAAUAAAUGGUUCUGAGCCGCAGAC